rnacentral:tRNA from 1 species
CCUGAGGUUUCGGAAACACUGGACCUUGAAUGUCUCUAAAAGAUGUUCGACUCAUCUUCAAGCC